UGGUUACAUUAUUCCGCAGCAAAAUUAAGAAAAUUCAUCAGAAUAAUCAGUGAGAGCACGUUUCCGGAGGGGAGAAAAAAAAAAGGAGGAAAAAACAGUUAAAGCAAGCGUACUAAAAUUGAAGCCAUCAACAUUUAGCUGAUCACUAAUUAGUCGAUCUCAGUAUUUGGUUUCGUAUUUUCGCAUAGCAAUUGGCGUAUCUCUCUCUCUCUCUCUCUCUCUCUGUUGUUGAAUUUAAGAAGGUCGAAGAAGAGAUGAUUACUCGGUCUAAACUGGUUGAGCAACUGAGGGACUUCCAGAUCCGAUCUCAACACAAGUGUCCUGCUCUCACCGUCUUCUCUCCUAAGCCAUUUCUCUCUUCCCGGUAUUUCUCUCACCUUUUUGUUUUUUUGAAUGAGCUAAAUUUGCAAAUUCUGCUGAUUUAUUUAUUUAUUUAUCUUUUUAUGCUUUAAAUUUAUUUUUCAUUCAUUUUUUUCAGUUAAUGGAACAAUUAGCAUUUUUCUAACUCUAGUACGAACUAGUUAUGGUUAGUGUUACAAGUGGAGUAGAUGUGGAGAUGUCAAAUUAGCUUGUUCCAUAGUUGUGUGUGGAGGUCAAAUGGUUGAAAUUUCGUGAUAGCUACAAAGUUUUGUGGUUUUGAGAUUUGGAAACUGUCUGUUUCUGCCUGUAUUUACUGUCGCAACGGCACAAAUAUUGCGAUUUGGAUGCGUGCUUUCCGGCAUUAGCAAAAUUGAAUUUAAUGUAGCUUGUGAUGAAUUUUCACAUUUAGGAUCAUUGAACGGAUUUUUGACUUAAUUUGCUUUUCUUUUUUUUGUGGUGUGUAGAAAAAAGAUGAAAUUGCGAUUAACAGUGAGGAUCGUAAACUAUAUUUGCACUGCUUGAAGGAUCCAUGCUACAGAACGCAAAUAGUUUGAAAUAGGUCCAUAGAUAAGUUUAUUUGAGUCUUUUUUUUUCCUAAACUCUGAUUCAUGUUUUAUCACUUAGUUUACUUAUAAGAAUUUGACCUCAUUUGCUGCCAUGUUAAAUCUAAGAAGUUGCAUAUCUCCUCCAUUCAAUUACUUUCGUUGGUAACGUGGGUCACUUAUGGACUGACUUACAUUUCAAUGGAGCUGAGCUAGAUUCUUAACUGGUAUCCUAAUAUGCUCCAGCAUAUUGGAAGCACGUAAAUUCCAAAAGAAUUGAGCUGACUUUGCCCAGCUCAGGUACAGAUUCAAGGAAUUUUGGACUCGAAUAAUCCAUACACGUUUUUCCAUGAGGAUUAAGAUUAGGUUGAGGUGAGUGUAUAUCUUCACAGGCAGUUAACAGUGGUGCAACAAUUGUAGCGGGUAUAGGACACAAAUUUCACAAUUUUAGGGAAAAGAUUCCUUUAUUUGCAUCCCCUCCAGCUGUAAGUCAAAGAAAUUGGAUAAUUGCCUAGUUCCUGUGUUGGCCUGUAAAAAAGUAAUGCAAUGGGCCUAUGCCCCCGUCCCAUCCUUUCAGACUCUAUCACCAAUCUGUCUUGGCUGCAGGCUUAUCAGUUCUCUGCUUGUUAGUAGUUGCCAUUCUUAUGUGUUGAGGAAGCCUUUAAUUGCCAGUUAUGAAAAAUAGUUUACUGAAACGUUGGUGAUUAAGUGGUCUAGUUUAUUCACUGAAACUGCUUGGUGUAGGCAAUCCCAUUUUCUACACUAUAUUGAGGUAUGGGUUUCACAUAUGCCUCCAGAAAAACUUAAAAUGUUGGAGAAGGCUUAUCUAAUUCUUAACAUAAUACUUAAUUUUAAAUGGAAGGCCCAACAAUAAUAUUGGAGCUCUAACCAGUGCUUCGAAUCCUGGCCCUUUUCCAUUUGAGCAAUAUGUUUAGAUGAAUUUGUCAAAUUGGGUGAGGGAAUGGGAUAGCGGAAGCGAAUUGAUAGGGUAGAUAAACACUAGAUAUUGUUCUAGCACGGGUCUAAGCCAACGCGAUUAGAUUAUGGUCUAAUCGAGGUGUGAUUAGAUCUUAUUCUAAUCUAAAUGACUCAAUGAGAUUUUAAUAACGCUUUAUGUGAGAUUAGAUGACUCUCUAAUCCAAACGACUUUACAAGAGAGAUUGUUGAUAGAUAAUCCCAAAGGGAAUUCUAAAAGUUAUGAAAUAAUAACAAGACCUCCCUGUUUAUAAUAGAGUAAACCUACUUCCCCAAGUUAACUUAAAAAGAGAAACUAAAUUACAAUUAUAAUAGAAAUAAAAAACUAAAACACAUACUCUAAUUGACUCGAAUUAAAAUAGAAACUAUCAAAAGAUCUAAAAUAACAAAAUCCUAAAGUCCUAAAAUAACGUCCUCCAUCAUUGGGUAUCUUUGUAAAGAAUGCUAUCCCAAACACCGUAAAGAGAAGAUAGUGUUUAAGACAUCAUAGAUGGAUAAGUACUCCCAACAUUGAAAGCAUCAUCUGAACUUUCAUUGUUAUUUCAAACAGAAGUGACUCCUGCUUGAUUGAGACCUGAAUCACUUCUAUCAGAUUUAUCCUUUUGAUUAGAGAUGAUCCAGUGGACAGCUCCAACGACAUUCUGCAUGCAUAAUUUUACAUCAAAUCCAUUAGGUAUUAUUGGAAGCACAGCAGUGAGGCAAAUGUGGAAAAAGGAGGGGGGGGCGGGUGUUUGUAGGAUUGAUUCAAAGCGAACAAAUGUACUAGUUUUGAUGGAUUUGUAGGAUACUAAGCUGCUUCAUGAUAGUCUUGAAGUACAAACUUUACAUCUUUUUAUUUUAAUGCCUUUGAAAAAAUUGAAACUUGGAACCUACCCCAAAUUUUCAGAUGCCAUCCUGUGCUGCUGUGCUACUGAAAAUUUUGGUUAUUCUUCUUUUAUUUUUAGGAAAAUAUAAGUUUCUUUGUGAAUACUGCUUCUCUGACUUCAUGAAUUUUAGUUCAUCAUUGGAAACGUUCAUGAUAGCUGUAUCUGUAUCAAUUUGUGGCUGUCUCAUUUAAAUUUUUGAGUUAUAAUGCACAUCAUUGUAUGAUUAUGCCAUUAUCAAAUGAGAAAGACUUUAUCGGCUUCAUGCAGGGUUGAUGUUGCUGUAGCUAUCUUUUGGGCCACAUUGUUUAGCAUGCUUGUUGUAUCAUCCUACGUGACAUUUUACUUGCGGCACUUCUGGCUUUCGCUCUUCAUUUUAGGCCUUAGUAUUUUACUUCCCAUACGCCUAAGAAGUUUUAGGCAGGCAGUUGCCAGGAAGAGGGAGAGGAGAUUAUUAUUACCUUUAUCCAUGUGAACUCUCCACAGUAAUAAAGUACUUGCAGCUUUUUGACCAGCUAACUAGGGCUCACUACUCACCCUUCACUCAUUUGGCUUAUACUAGACAUUGAACUAUGUGAGGUUUGAAGUACUGAAUUUGGUCAACAGGGCCCUCAAUUGCCUCUCUGUUGGAUGGUACAGUUCCUUCAUACUUCUUCAGCAUACACAGCAUGAGAAUUGCUAAAUACAUACUUUAUUUACAUCUAUACACCAUAGAUUUGAGUGAGUAAAGAGGCAACUGCCUGUUAAUUUUUCUCGUCUUCAAAUAGUGAUUUGAAUUCAGGUUCAAGAAAUUUUCUACUAAUAUUCUGCAGAUUGGGCUUUCUUUUUCUUCAUUUUUUAGAUGGACAUGUAACAGGUUAGCACUAGCUGGUUAGGUAUAAAAUCUUAAACCCUUGUCAUGAUCAGGGAGAGAGAGGGAGAGAGAGGAUGAACACUGAAUGAUAUGUGGAUCAUCCAGGAAGAUUGGUAGGAUUUUGCUCUUUAAAUGGUGAAGCAUUUUCUUUUAUUUUCUAUAUUUCCUUUUUGCUAUCUGUUGACUGUUGAUGUGGGAAGUUGAAGUCCAUGAUUCUUGCUUUUGUAGCUUCAUCUUUCUAGUAAGGGAAAUACAAAGGCAGUACAUUGUCAAAUCUAGAAGUGUAGUUGCUUAAUUAUACUUCUUGUACAUUUGUCUCAUAGAUAAAUAAAAAUAUCCAUCUUCAGUCACGUAGUUCCUACUCGAAAAAAAAGAAAUACAUAUAACCAGAUAAUUUCCAAACAACUAAUUAUUUGCCAGAUAAUUUCCAAACAAUCUUAUUUUGCAUAGAACUUUUAUUUUUCUUCAGUAACAAUGAGAAUCAAAUUUGAAUUAAAAUUCAUUGUUUUUGAAUUCAAUAAGUGAGCAACAUUGUAAGAUGACACCCUAUUGUACUAUGUAGUAGAAUAGAUAUUAGAUAGCAACAUUAUAAGAUGAUGCCUUAUUAAACUAUGCAGUAGAAUAGGUAGCAACAUUAUACGAUGACGCCUUAUUGUAUUGUGUGGUAGGCAUAUCUAUUCGUUAAAAUUUUGUUACUACUUGCUAGUCUCCGAUGUCAUUAUUGCACCAAAGAGAUUGUGUUUUCUGAUGACAACAAUUGCGACAUUGCUUUUGCUCAUGGCAUUUAAGUUGUUAAUAACUGGGAUUGAAAUAUAUUCCUUUGCUUUUUUAUAUUAUUGUCAGUAUAUAGACACCUAGGCCGUCAUGGGGGACCAUUGUGAUAUGUUUCCAUAAACAUUGCUCCAUCCUUUUUUCCACAAGUUAUAAUCAGCAAAAGAAGAAGAAUAGUAAGAGAUUUAAUUUACCUGAUGGUAAGCAUGUAUUUGAGGGACAAAUUACUAAUUUAAUAAACGAGUGAAUGGCCACUCAGAUGCAUGCCUUCCAAAUGAAUAUGAUAGCCAGUUAUCCGUUUGCUUCUGAAUCUCAAAGAUCUAAUGUCCAUAAACCUUCACGCACAGUUUCUGUUUUCUGAUUCUGUUAUUUUACUUAGAAGGUUGAGUCAGUUAGAAGAUUUCUAAUGGCUAUUUCAAGCUUUUUAGCUGCAUUACUUUGUUAGAAACUCUUUUCUGAUCUUUGAAUCCGCCUGCUCAAUUACUAAAGCUUUUCUGGAAGCUGUUUGAUAGAUUUUCCUAUUGGACUUAUAUGUGCCAACUGAUUUCCGACGAUUUGAUUAUGCAAAAUAUAGCUGCAAUUAAGGAAGAAGCUGUUGCAUACUUUAAACUAUGCUAUCUAUGAGCUUUUAACCAUGUAAUUACAGCAUAAUACUUUGGCUUAUCCCGAUAGAAUUCAUAAGCUGUUGAUGAUGCAUGUUAAUCGUGCAUGGCACUUCUUUUGGUGACAAAAAGAGGGUAACUAGUGCGCCAGAAAGUACCUUUAAGAGACGUGCUUUCUUUAUGAAGUCCAGUUUUGGCACUGGAGAAGAGAAUUGUUGAUCUAAUUCUCGUGUGGUCUAUUUGCCUUUUUAUUACAAUUAAGAAUUGGUCGAUGUCAAGAAACAUGCACAACACUUUUCUUUAGGAGCUUUAUAUGUUAAUGUAAUAUUUCUUGCAAUUUAGCUGUCAUGAAUACUCAGUGACGCUUGUUAAAAAAGCCAAAAUUCUCGGCCAACUAAGUGAAGUCUCGUCCACUAAGCCUGAAUUAUUUAUUAUAGAUUAUCAACAAGCUUUUAAAUUACAUUAGCUUAAUGCGAUUAUGGGAACCUCUGAUUGAUAUAGCUCGUCAUUGAUUAAGCAUGAUUCCAACUAAUGCCAAAUGUUGUCUUCGUCCCAAGAAAUUCUCUCUCACCUGAUUCAUGAAUCUGAGCCGUCAAUCGAUGAACGGGGACCGCAGGUUUUGAUUCGAUAGCAGCCGAAAGAUAAAAAGGUUGAACCCAGGUUGGCUCUUUUCCCAUCCAUUAGCUAAAGGGCUAGGUUCGUGAUGCUACUUUCUCACUGUGGUCAUAGUUACACUUUAGAUGUUUCUCUUUUGAAUGCUUAAAGUUGUUUUUAGAACGCCGAAAAUAAAGGCUUUACAAUUUUAAGUCUUUAAUUAAGAUCACAAAACCCAAGUCGAGUGCCCUGAUGCUGGCCGUAAACCCCAGCUCUUCUCUUGACAUUUAUCCCUACUAACUUUUGUAGGCCUAUGUUGCCUUGAUUAUGUGAUUCAUACUGGUUCCAUGCUAACCAUUCGUGCUUCUUCAAAGGUUAGUAGGGAUAAAUGUCAAGAUAUGUUGCCUUGAUUAUGUGAUUCAUACUGGCUCCAUGCUAACCAUUCGUGCUUCUUCAAAGGUUGCUUAAAUUUGAUUAUUGGUGCAUCCAAUGAAUCCUAUUGGUUCAAGUAUGCAUGAUGUAAACUGAUAUCUUUUCUUUGUUACAUUUUUUAGUGGGUGACAUGCCUUGAUUGGAUAUUAAACCGAAUUAUUACACUACACUUACACAAAAAAUCCAACUGGCUACUAGCAUCUCUCAUGGUGAAUUAUUGCAUAAAUGACUUUCUAGUAAUCCUCGAAAUCCUCUGUCUGGUGUUGCCCUUGCACACGAAUGGAAGCCAAAAGAACUUAUGGCAAUAAUAACGAUUAACGAAGAUGGGUUCACACUCUUUAACAAAGAGUCCGUGUCCUUGACAUUAUUAAAUCUUUCAAAUACAUUUCCUUUGUUAUGGAAAAUUGGCCCUUCAAAGCAACAAUCUUUUCGGUCGCUAAAUCAUCAUUUCGGAAGCGUAAUGAUUCCAUUGAGAGCCUUAAAAUCCAAAUCACUUUCAGUAUUCUUAAAUACAAUGGAGAUGAACAUGUCAAGCAAAAAGAAGUAAAAACUGGUCAAAGAUUAUGACCUGAAAGUAGAGCCCAAAGCAUGCCAUCAUAUGCCUGACAAUUUCUUGAUCAUCGUGCGGCCACGUUUUUUUGGCCCACAAACACGCGUGAACAAAUGAUAGAGUUCCUUCGGUUUUCACAAGCAUGACUUGGCCACCCCACUUAAAUUUCUCUUGUUGGAGGCAUGCUCAUUAUUAUUAUUUGUAUAAGAAUGUACAUACUUCAAAUUAAGAUCGUUCAAAAGAAAAUUUCGAAAAAAAAAAAAAGGCGAAAUUAUAUGUUUUCACAUUGUGAAAACAUUUCCUUGUGAACGCUAUAAUUUAAGUAAUUGGAUUCUUGAUUAAACACAGACAAUUUGUGCUGUAAGAAUUUAAUAAAAACUAUUUUUUUAUUUCAUUGUAAGGACAAUUGGUCAAUGCAAUGCAAACAGGCACGACGUGAGCUGAUCUUUUUGGAAGGGAUCAAGAUUCUCUUUUGAUAUGAUUUUCUCCAUGUGGUGAUUGGUUAUUAUUAAAAUAAAAAAAUAAAAAAAUUAAAUUUUAUUCAUACAUUAUUACUUAAAAAACACAUAACAUAAGACUUUUAAAAGUUCAUGAGAGCUCAUAACAGGGGAUUUUUUCUUUUUGGAAAGCCAUUGUAAUUAUCUUUUAUUCUUUUUCGUAACACGUGUAUUCGUCGUUUCUAAUAAGAGUAAUGAAUGACGUACCGGUUAACAAAAUAAACAAUAAAUGGCAUUUGCUACCCUACACUGAAAAUAUUAAUAAGUACAGUGGGCUCAGGGCUGCUGCGCAUUAAAUUGAACCCUCGCUCUCCACAGACCAUGAGUAAAGUCUCGUCAGUUAGUCCACACGUGCAGUCUUGCCACGUGGCAAGUACCUCAUAUCAAUUCAAUUUAAUUUAAUUUUGUAUCUGUGCCAUCAAUCAUUGGCAGUGUUGGCCACCCGCACGAGUGGUUAGGUGUGGCUUUGCGUCUGUUAGGCCAGCUAAUCUCACCCUCAUCACUCGCUAUUUUAUUCCUGGCUACGUAAUGUUAACGAACGGCGACCCAUUGGGCCACGUGUCUUUCUCAUUUGCCCUCUGUUUAUAGUAAUCAAUGUAGUCAGUCUGUCAAGUACACUUUCAGAUUUGUGCAGGCCAUCACGAAACCGGAAUUUGAACCCCUUACGAUAAAAAUUGCAUGUGAAAGCCAUUAAAGCAAUUUUUUAUUUUUCGGAAAGUGGGUAUAAGAAUUAUAUCAGAAACAUUUUUUUUAGAACAAAUUAGAAUAAAACUCUAGUUGAAUUUUUAUGCGGUAAUUUGUUCUUCUCGUUGAUACAGUAACAAGUUUUCUCUGCAUAAAUAGCUUCUCUCAAUCUCUCUAUCUUUUGAAAGCAUGUGGAAAUGGUGAAGCUUGGAAUUAUAAGUUGGCAGAUGAGCAUUUACGUGAAGGGCAAUAAUGCACGCACGUGGAUUGGAAUUAAAAGGAUGACUCAUUAAAUAAAUUUAUUUUUUUCUUGUUCGGUGUAUGCGAGAAAUAGAGAGCGCCACUCUUCAUCUUUAAAAAAACAAUUAUAACAAAUAGGACCCCAACGGCAUCACGGGUCUGUCCUUCUCACCGUCCCUUUCUUUUACUUCAAAGUUCAAAUUAUGAAAAACGAGCCACUAAAACAAGAUUUUGCUUUGACAGCAUGGUAUGCUUGAUGUGGGUGCUUGUUACUUCAGCUUGUUAGUUAAAUAAGUAAAAUAUUUUCAGAUGAUAUCAAAGUUCUCAGCAUUAUGUAAUAUUUGCACAAAAAAUUUAAAAAAAAAAACAGAGAAAUGUGUUAUUAUAUUCCUAAUGUGGUGGAGUCAAUAUUUCCUCUAUAGCAAGAUAACUGUGAUGUAUGAUAGUUUUGCAAGUAUUGUAAAUUUUUUUUUUUAAUUUUAGUAGUAUUUGAGAUUAAAUAAUAAUUUUUCCUAGAUUUUAUUAAAUUUUUUUUUGUCUGAACCACAAGGUGGUCCUGAGUGGGCCCCAACUGUGGGAAUUAUUUUUAACCUCGUACCACAACCCAGACUAAUCCCCGCUCACACCAGAUCGGCUCACAGCGAGUUGACUCGUAAGGGAUAAAGUGCUGAAUCACUCACACCAACCAACUUUAAUUUAUUAAAUUAUUAUUUUAAUAUAAUUAAGACGGUGUUUGGAUUUGUUUUAAUUAUUUGACGGUCUAGACUCUGGCAUUCAAAAGUGGCUGGAACACUUUUAAGAAUAAAUUAUUUAAAAAUAUAAUCCUUAAAUAAUCUAUUUUUUUUAUACUAAACAUCAAAAGUAAUUGUGAUUAUUUCAUAGUUAGAUUUUGUAAAGUACAAUAGCUAAAAUACCCUUCAUAAAAUUAUUUAUUCUUCAAAAUACUUUGACAAGUAGCAAAUAAAUAGUAAUAAGUAUUAUAAAAAAUAAUAAAUCAAAAGAGCUCAUAAUAUUUUGUCAGUGUCGGUUUGAAGUGUUGAAUCGAUCAUUGAGAAAGGAAGAUUUCAGCGACACUAGUGGUACUGUCAAACUCAAAUUUUUGUCAUUUGUGGUUCAACAAGUAAAAUAUUUUGAGAUUAUAUCAAAGGUCUCAUCAUUAUAUAAUAUUUAAAUUAAAAAGAAAAAACAAACAAAUGUACUAUAUGUGGACUAUUUGAACCCACCAAAUUUCUUCUUAUACCCAAAUUAAAAAAUAAAUUCACUAUUAAAAAUUUCAAAUUUAAAAAAAUCAAAAUUACUCUUCACUAAUUUCUUUCUCUCUUCAUCUUACAAUUGAAUAUUCUCCAUCUACUUUUACAUUUUACAAACUAAAACUCAAUUUCACUCCUUUUUCAAUUCUUUUUUUGGCUUUCCUUAGUAUAUCAUAAUCUAUAUUUCAUAUUUUUUUAUAUUUAAGUAUAUUUUCUCUUGAUAUUCAUUACAUUUUGGGUUUGGUAAAACUUAAUUUAUUGAUAUUGAUUAACUUUCAUACCUAAUAAAAAUUUACUGAUGUUCAUUUUUAAAUAGUAGGUUUUGUCACUCUUUAUUAGCAAUACUAAUUACUUGUAGCUAAAGGAAUAUAUAUGAAUAAAUUGAUGAAAAUUUAUGGAAUUGGGAAGAGAAGGAGAAAAAAAGGAUCAAUUUAGUAAAUUUUUUAAAAUUAUUUAGAUAAUAAAAUUCUUAAAUAAAAAGAGGGUGUAGAGAAAAAAUUAAUAGGUUAAAAUAUUCCCUCUUAAACCAGAUAAUUGUGACGUAUGAUAAUAUUGUUUUUUUUUUUUAUUUAGCCGGCGCCGGAGACUAUCACCGGGAGAGGGAGAAUCCGGCGACACCACCGGUGCUCUCAGACUCAGAUUUUUGUGAUUUGCAUCAUUUUGGCACAUUCUCCAGCAACAGAUCAAUAUGCAAGCCCACUUGCCUUUCUAACAGUCUUUGUAACCUUGAUACUUUUUCGUACAUUUGACUAAUAGAAUUCUCCUCUUUAAUUAAUUUCUCCUGCGGGUUAUCAGUUAUCUAUCUAAACCUCAUGCUUACACAUGGUUUGGACUAUAGCAUCAUAUGUCCUCCCUGCUAAGAGAUAUGAUGUCGAUUGGCCAGAAUGAUACCUAACCUGACAGAUGACAUUGCGUCAAAACAGCUAAAUGCGUUUUAGCAUCAAAAAGGUGGUUCAAUUAAUCAUAUUUUCUGGUGAUCCGUUAGCCUAUUGCGUGAAGUUAGCUGAUGCAUGCACUUUCAGAAUUUGAAAUUAGCAGCUGGCAAGAGGCAUGCAUCUAUGGAGACUGAACUUGCCAGCAGCCAGAGGGGUCAUUCUGCACAAAAAGCGUGAGUGAAGCCAUCCUCACACUCAAUGUGCUGUGCUGUUCUUUUUUCUUCUUUUUUGCCCUUUUUUGCUUUCUUUCAACAGUUUGGACUGCUGCACAAGGACAACUCCAAACCGUGGAAAAAGACUAACAACCCUUUCGAAUUAAAAAAGGCUACUUGUCGAGCUGCGAUUUUGCUUUCAAAGUUGAAAAUGGCAGCAUUUCUGUUAGAUUAACUUGGAAGCCGGUGCUCAUUUUUCUCGUAUGAUAUUUCCCAAUUAGUGGGGCCUUUUAUAUGGGGUGUAUACAUAUGCCUUAUUAGAUUUUUCCAUGAUUAGAACAGCAGAAAUGAGUAUGUUGAUCAAUAAUAGUAGCUAACGGUCCUGAUCGUUGAUCAAUUAGGCGAAAUGAUGGCAUGUGUUGUCAUAAUCGUAUAAGGCGUAGCACCUUUCAUUUUGAUUUAGAAAAACACAUCUCUUUCUGUCACUUGGAGUCAACUAGUCUUCAAUAGUGAAUUCACCUGAUAGUUACGUUAUCUUGUGUAUAUACAAAGUCCCCUGCGAAAUUUAUAUUUCUAUCUCAUUGUUGCCAGUUGCGACCAACCAAAUCUCUUUGUUAGCCAUAAAUUUUCUUUACCUACUGUAGGACCCCCAAAUAUAUUCACGAUAUCUCUUGAGGGAACCCGUUCAGCUUUUGACAGCAAGAAAUAGAAGGAGCGAGAAACAGCAUAUUUGCAUGCAAUAAAAUAAGACAGCCCAAGUUUCACAAGGUCUUUGGAAGUCCAAUCAGUACUUAUAAAGAACAAAAUAACGUUCAAAGGCUCUGAUAAAAAAUAAUAAUAAUAAAUAACGCUCAAAGGCAAUUGCAAUGCAAGUACCUGAGUUUCCUGCAAACGAAAGAAAUGGUCAUAUCAAAAGCCUCGCUGUUUGACUGUCCAGGGCUGAGCUGCCCCCGCGUGUGGGGUUGUGGACUUGUGGUUAUGAUCCCGUCCGGUUAGCACUUCUUCCAGUUCCUGUCCAAUCGGUUUGUUGUCCUUUUUUGUGGGUUUUUAAGCAAUAAUCCCUGUUUGACUUUGACUGCAUACUGGUACGUGGGCCAUUAAUUUGUUUGGAUUUGAAAAAUCAUGAUAAAUCACAUGAGGUCACACAAGCAAAUUGAUAGAGUAGAUAAAUAUUAGUUAUUAUUUUAGUACCGAAUUAAGUUAAUGCGAUUAGGUGAAUAAUGUAGUAUAUUGUUUUUUAUAAUUUUUUGAUAUUUUUUAUGUUAAUUAAAAUCAAUUAUGAUAUGUAUUUUAAUCACUUAUUUCUAUUAUAAUUGUAAUUUACUUUCUCUUUUUAAGUUGACUAUGAAAGUAGGUUGAUGUUAUUAUAAAUAAAGAGAUCUUAUUAUUGUUUUUAUAACUCAAUUAUAAAAAAGAAAAAAAAAUCUCUUUUUAUAAUUCUCUUUGGGAUAAUCUAUCAAAAUAUCUCUUAUAAAACCAUUUAAAUUAGAAUAUCAUCUAAUAUCGCUUAAAGCAUUAUCAAAAUAUCACUAAGUCAUUUGGAUUAUGAUGAGAUUUAAUCACAUUUUGAUUAGAGAAUAAUUUUAUCAUGUUGGCUAGGUCUGGUACUAGAACGAUAUCUAAUGUUUAUCCACCCCACCAAUUUGCCUCCCCUACCCUGCUCUGUUAGAUAUGCUCUAAUAAAAAAGUGAUCAAAUCUCAUUCUAAUCCAAACAACUCAUUAAAUAAGAUUAUAUGAUACUUUAAUCCAGACGUCUCUCCCAAGAGAGAUUUUUGUUAGACAAUCCUAGAAUGAAUUUUUUUUUAAAAAAAAUAAUUUUUAUUAGUCAAAAUAUUGUGAAAAUAAUAACAAUAUCUUCUUAUUCAUAAUAAGGUAAAGUGGUAAACCUACUAAACUACCUCAGAAGAAAAAUUAAAUCACAAUUAUAUUGGAAGUAAAAGACUAAAGCAUGUACCAUAAUUGACUAUAAUUAAAAUCAAAAAUCAAAAAGACCUAAAAUAAAAAAUUUUAAAAUCCUAAAAUAACAUCCCACAUCACUAUAGUAAAGAAAUUCUAAAAACUAAUGUGAACCUAUGAAACAAUGCAAUCUAUCUUUGGAGUAAGUAAAGGGUCCAUAUUAAGAGAAGUUCUAGAGUAUAUUAGAGGCAAUACAACUAACUAAUGCAUAUAUGACGUGUGUUGUUGAAUU
rnacentral:lncRNA from 1 species